rnacentral:rRNA from 1 species
GUCGUAGUGACCUGCGGAGGUCAUUAAAGAACGCCCCGUUUUUUGAAAUGGGUAAUUCCCAAACCCGUGUUUACAUACCUUUGUUGCUUUGGUAGGCCGCCUUCUAGGCGUCGGCUCAGGCUGAUUGUGCUUGCCAGAGGACCCAAACUCGUUUGUUUAGUGUCGUCUGAGUACUAUAUAAUAGUUAAAACUUUCAACAACGGAUCUCUUGGUUCUGGCAUCGAUGAAGAACGCAGCGAAAUGCGAUAAGUAAUGUGAAUUGCAGAAUUCAGUGAAUCAUCGAAUCUUUGAACGCACAUUGCGCCCCUUGGUAUUCCGAGGGGCAUGCCUGUUCGAGCGUCAUUAUGACCACUCAAGUCUCGGCUUGGUAUUGGGGUUCGCGGUUCCGCGGCUCUUAAAACUAGUGGCGGUGUCGUCUGGCUCUAAGCGUAGUAAUUCUCUCGCUAUAGGGUUUAGAUGAUUGCUUGCUAGAAUCCCCCCCACCUUUAUAGGUUGACCUCGGAUCAGGUAGGGAUACCCGCUGAACUUAAGCAUAUCAA